UACAGAGGGGGCAAGCGUUGUUCGGAAUUACUGGGCGUAAAGGGCGCGUAGGCGGCCUGUUAAGUCGAACGUGAAAUCCCCGGGCUCAACCCGGGAACUGCGUCCGAUACUGGCAGGCUUGAAUUCGGGAGAGGGAUGUGGAAUUCCAGGUGUAGCGGUGAAAUGCGUAGAUAUCUGGAGGAACACCGGUGGCGAAGGCGGCGAUCCUGGACCGAUAUUGACGCUGAUGCGCGAAAGCCAGGGAGCAAACGG
rnacentral:rRNA from 1 species